AACGAACGCUGGCGGCAGGCCUAACACAUGCCAGUCGAGCGAGGACUUCGGUUCUAGCGGCGGACGGGUGAGUAACGCGUGGGAAUGUGCCCUUCUCUACGGAAUAGCCCUGGGAAACUGGGAGUAAUACCGUAUACGCCCUAUUGGGGAAAGAUUUAUCGGAGAAGGAUCAGCCCGCGUUGGAUUAGGUAGUUGGUGGGGUAAUGGCCUACCAAGCCGACGAUCCAUAGCUGGUUUGAGAGGAUGAUCAGCCAUACUGGGACUGAGACACGGCCCAGACUCCUACGGGAGGCAGCAGUGGGGAAUCUUAGACAAUGGGGGCAACCCUGAUCUAGCCAUGCCGCGUGAGUGAUGAAGGCCUUAGGGUUGUAAAGCUCUUUCAGCUGGGAAGAUAAUGACGGUACCAGCAGAAGAAGCCCCGGCUAACUCCGUG
rnacentral:rRNA from 1 species